rnacentral:tRNA from 1 species
UGGGGUAUAGCCAAGUUGGUUAAGGCACGGGACUUUGACUCCCGCAUCGUUGGUUCGAGUCCAGCUACCCCAGCCA